AUUGAACGCUGGCGGCAUGCCUUACACAUGCAAGUCGAACGGUAACAGGUCUUCGGAUGCUGACGAGUGGCGAACGGGUGAGUAAUACAUCGGAACGUGCCCGAUCGUGGGGGAUAACGAGGCGAAAGCUUUGCUAAUACCGCAUACGAUCUACGGAUGAAAGCGGGGGAUCUUCGGACCUCGCGCGGACGGAGCGGCCGAUGGCAGAUUAGGUAGUUGGUGGGAUAAAAGCUUACCAAGCCGACGAUCUGUAGCUGGUCUGAGAGGAUGAUCAGCCACACUGGGACUGAGACACGGCCCAGACUCCUACGGGAGGCAGCAGUGGGGAAUUUUGGACAAUGGGCGAAAGCCUGAUCCAGCCAUGCCGCGUGCAGGAUGAAGGCCUUCGGGUUGUAAACUGCUUUUGUACGGAACGAAAAGCCUCUUUCUAAUAAAGAGAGGUCAUGACGUACCUAAGAUAG
rnacentral:rRNA from 1 species